UGCACAUUCUGCACAUGUAUCCCAGAACUUAAAACAAACAAACAAAAAACAAAGAACUGUCACAAGCAAAAGUAUAUCACAAGUGAAAAUAUGUUUUUCUUGAAGACCAACAAGCUCAAAUAGAUCUCUUUGAAUUCUUUCUGAAGUGAACUUUUAAAAAGGGAAGGUUUGGGAAUGGAAGAGAAAAAAGAAAAGGAGACACCACUUUCUCAAUUAGGAGGAACCCUAAGGCCAUCUACUACUUACCCAUAAAGAAAGCAAGGUUUAUAGAAAAAAAAACUGAGUGAGGAAAAGCCAGGUGCAAUACCACAUGCAUUCAAGGAACUUUAAAGAGUGCUUCUCAAAGAAAAGGGUCAGAGUGUGCCUUUGGGGCAGGUAGGAGGAUGAAAGAAUUUCAUCCCAGUCACUGUAGGCUGUGGCAUAAACUGAAAAAGGUUGAGAAAGUACUGCUUUAACCUUUUCACUAGUGACAUAAAAAACUCCAGCCCCCAGCAUUGUUGCCUACUUCUGUUAUCAGUAGGUAUCCUGUUUUGGAGGCAAAGUGAGGCAAGAAACACCUUGAGUUCCCUCAAGUGUAUAGCCAAUAGCUUUUAUUUUGUCUUCCUGUUAACCCACAUGAAUUUAAUACUCCAACCAUGGGAUGUUGCUGUUUCAUUCAAAUGAGAUCAGAGUAUUAGAAAUACCCUAACUGGGCCAGGCACAGUGGCUCAUGCCUGUAAUCCCCAGCACUUUGAGGAGCCAAGGCAGGUAGAUUGCCUGAUCUCACGGGUUCAAGACCACACUGGGCAAACUGGGGAAACUCUGUCACUAGAAAAAAUACAAGAAUUAGCCAGACAUGGUGGUGCACACCUAUAAUCUCAGCUACUUAGGGGGCUGAGGUGUGAGGAUCACUUGAGCCCAGGAGGUGGAGGUUGCAGUCAUCCAUUCAGUUCACACCAUUGAAGUCCAGCCUCGGCGACAAAGCGAGACCCUGUCUCAAAGAAAAAAAAAAAAAAAAAAAUCCUAACUGUUUAUAAUCCUUACCACAGCUCCUUUGCAUCAUCCAGAGAUGGGCCAUAUAGCCCACUCAAGGCCUGGUGUUUCCCCUAGACACAUCAGAAAUAGGAUAGGACAAUAUUUUAACUGAAAUGACGUAUGACAACUCAAAACUAUGUAUGUGGCCAACUGGGAGCUAGCCUCUUAGAAUGAUCCAAAAACUGUUCAAUUUGGUUAGCACUUUUGAUAAAUAAAUACUGAAUGUGAAUGCCCUGAGGCAAUAGACAUGCUUACUCUGAUUUGCAAAAGCCAAAUACCUCUUCUAGAUUCCACGUUUCGCUACUUUAUUUUCCUGUCUCUGAACUCCCCAAUACACCUUGUAAUGUUUACUUUUAGGUGUCAACUUGACUGGAUUACUGAAUACAUAGAAACCUGGUAAAGCAUGAUUUUGGGGUGUGUCUGUGAGGGUGUUUACAGAAGAGAUUAGCAUGUGAGUGUGAGUGGACUAGGUGAGGAAGACCCUCCCUCAACGUGGGCAGGCACCAUCCAAUUUGCCAGGGCUGGAGAACAAAAACAGAGGAAAGACAAAUAUGUCCAUCUAUUUCCUAGAGCUGGGCUUCAUUCUUCCUCUCCUAUCCUUGGAUAUCAGAACUCCAGGCUCCGGCCUUUGGACUCCAGGACUUAACACCAGCAGCUCCCAGAUUCUCAGGCAUUCAGCCUCCAACUGAGAGUUACACCAUUGGCUUUCCUGAUUUUGAUGCCUUCAGACUUGGUUUAAGCCAUGCUACCAGCAUCCCAGAGCCUCCAGUUUGCAGAUGGCCCGUUGGGAGACUUCCCACCCUCCAUAAUUAUGAGGAAUUUACCUAUUUUCUCUAGCAUUGAAUAUUACUCCUUCAACCCUGGCUGAGGAAUAGGAUGAAGAAGAAAAUUGAUCUUGGAAUGGAGAACACAGAGCAAUCCAGCAGUACUUGAGCUACUGUGUUAUAAUAUCUCAAACUAACAUUUGAGACUCUCUGACUUGAUAACUAUGAUUCCACUGAAGAUGACUAUUGAGGUAAUCAACUUUGUAGCAAUUCUCAAACUUUAGUAUAUAAGUCAGUCAGCUGGGUACUUACUAAAAAUAUGGAUUCACAGAUAUUCUCCAGCCCUAGUUUUGAUUUAGUAAGUCUAGGAAAAGGCCAACAUAUUUGCAUUUUAAUAAACACUUGUAUCUGUGAUUACCUGAUUACACAUUGAGAAAUAAUAUUUAUUUCUUAGUAUUACCCUAGAAAUUCCAGGAUAAGUAUAGAAUAGGGUUUCUUAUAACCUGAGAUCCAAAUAUCCCAAAGGAGCCUAUGAAUAAAAUCUAAAGGGUUCACAAACUUGGGUGGGGUAAAAUACAUCUUUAUUUUUAGUAACUCCUAAUUAAACCUAACAUUAAAAAAAAUUGUAAAUGUAGACAACAUAGCACAGUAUUAGGAGUAAUUCCCCUAACUUUGUCAUCAGUAGAAAACACAGAAAUUUUUAUAUUGCAUUGGAGUUGCUGCAAAUAUCUCAAAGUGUUGUUUAUAAUCAUCACUCCUUUAAAAUUAUGGUAGUUACCAGACUGCCUUUAGAUUUCAUUUAAUUUAAUAAAGAAGCAUACAUAUUACUCUAAAAUUAAAUUUGAAAACUGUGUCUUGAUAAAAUUGGUUUCUUUCGUAAUCCUGCAUAUUUCUAAAAGCAUUUACAAAUGAUUACAAGAAUAGUCCAUAGGCUUUGCUAAAAUAUUUAAAAGCUCCAUGGCACUAAAAGGUUAAGAAUCUUAGUGUAGGAAAGAAUAGUUCCUUAUUGAGACAUUAGGGAGGUAUACUUAAUUCCAUGGGAAAAAAUCAUAAAUACUUAUAGAUCAGUUGAGAUUUUUGACUCAGUCUCCAUUUCCCCUUUCCUGACUAAUUUUUCACUCUUCAGUAUCUCUUCUCAUGGACUACAUCUUCCCCGAUUUAUUUACUCCCCAACAGUUGAAUGGCUCUGUUUUCCAUCAAUGAUGACAGCUUUUAAUCAUAGAUCUCAAGCCCAUUAUGAACAUUAAUUAAUGUCUGACAUCGCUUAAUGAGAUGGAGCCUUGCCCUGUUGCCCAGGCUAGAGUGUCAUGGCUUGAUAUUGGCUGUCUGCAACCUCCGCCUCCCGGGUUCAAGUGAUUCUCCUGCCUCAGCCUCCCAAGUAGCUUGGAUUACA